rnacentral:rRNA from 1 species
AUUGAACGCUGGCGGCAGGCUUAACACAUGCAAGUCGAGCGGGGUGAGGUAGCUUGCUACUGAUCUUAGCGGCGGACGGGUGAGUAAUGCUUAGGAAUCUGCCUAUUAGUGGGGGACAACAUUUCGAAAGGAAUGCUAAUACCGCAUACGUCCUACGGGAGAAAGCAGGGGAUCUUCGGACCUUGCGCUAGUAGAUGAGCCUAAGUCGGAUUAGCUAGUUGGUGGGGUAAAGGCCUACCAAGGCGACGAUCUGUAGCGGGUCUGAGAGGAUGAUCCGCCACACUGGGACUGAGACACGGCCCAGACUCCUACGGGAGGCAGCAGUGGGGAAUAUUGGACAAUGGGGGGAACCCUGAUCUAGCCAUGCCGCGUGUGUGAAGAAGGCCUUAUGGUUGUAAAGCACUUUAAGCGAGGAGGAGGCUCUUUUGGUUAAUACCCAAGAUGAGUGGACGUUACUCGCAGAAUAAGCACCGGCUAACUCUGUGCCAGCCGCCGCCGUAA